GGCUACCUGGCGCAAUGGUAGCGCGUUUGGCUUCGAUUGCUUAGCGUACCAAAAGGCUGCAGGUUCGAGUCCUGCGGUGGUCG